GACAACGCGUAUUUGCGCAUGUUUGAGAGUAGCUAAAGCUAGAUGUAAAACAAAACUCAAGUCGUAAACAAAAGGGGCUCCGACUAAAUAAAGGGGGUGCAGCCCCUGGAGUCCGGAGGAGGCGCCACAGCAGGAGGGGGGCGCGCGCGACCAGGGGAAGGGCCGCGGCUCCCAACCCUAGGCACCCCACCUGGGCUGCCCUGUUGGGCCAUCUUCUUAUUCCGCUGGGCCUUCAUUCCUUAACAGCAUGAUGAAGUUUAAUUCUCUCGCACGGGCCCGAG
rnacentral:lncRNA from 1 species